rnacentral:rRNA from 1 species
CCUACGGGCGGCUGCAGUGAGGAAUAUUGGUCAAUGGACGAGAGUCUGAACCAGCCAAGUAGCGUGAAGGAUGACUGCCCUAUGGGUUGUAAACUUCUUUUAUAUGGGAAUAAAAUGUUCCACGUGUGGGAUUUUGUAUGUACCAUAUGAAUAAGGAUCGGCUAACUCCGUGCCAGCAGCCGCGGUAAUACGGAGGAUCCGAGCGUUAUCCGGAUUUAUUGGGUUUAAAGGGAGCGUAGGUGGAUUGUUAAGUCAGUUGUGAAAGUUUGCGGCUUAACCGUAAAAUUGCAGUUGAAACUGGCAGGCUUGAGGACAGUAGAGGUGGGCGGAAUUCGUGGUGUAGCGGUGAAAUGCUUAGAUAUGACGAAGAAUUCCGAUUGCGAAGGCAGCUCACUGGACUGCAACUGACACUGAGGUUCGAAAGUGUGGGUAUCAAACAGGAUUAGAUACCCGGGUAGUC